UAGUUUAACUUGAAUCACCUGGCAGGGUAAAACCAGUCAAAGUUCCUAUUUAAUAUUUCCAGUGUUAACUGAACAAGGCACGGGCACAGAAUGAUCCUGCUAAAUUGGCUCUGUGAAGCCUUCUUUUUUCUCCCUGUGUAACAGAUUGUCCAGAKGGAAACAGUAAAAASAACAAMAAAAAAUUGGCUGCCACCAAGUUCGGACCAACUACAGCAGCAAAGAGCAAGCGCUGGAGCGAUCAGGGCCUCUUUUUCUGACCAUCUUGAAACAGCAGAUAAACACACCCCAGGCAAACUCUCCGCAGACAGAAGAUAAACUUAACUCUGCCUUCCCUCCCUGUUUACCUGAGGCGAGGAACUCAGCCCAGAAGAAUGAAAAGCUCCAUCUGCCUGCUGCACACGCCAGUGAUGGGAAUUCCUACGUGUCACCGAUUACUUCGAAAAGGGGUAGAGUACAACUUGGAAGAAGUAUACACUAAUGAGGGAAACUCUAAGCUUCUCAAACAGCUCCAGAAUUACCCGCCUCUCCUUCUCAUCAACAGCGAGGGAACCUUUCUCUUUCACUUCUACUGCUUGCUUACAUAUAAGCAGAGAAGGGCAACGUACAGCAAUAAGAGAAAGUCAURUUAUCUUUGUAUUUAUUGCAUCAGCUGCAAGCUGGAUCACCACGCAGAAGGACUAGUUACUGCAGACACUCUGGAUUCAGCCAAUGUAAAAAUAUUACAGCCCAUAGAUUUCUGCAGAACAUAYCUCAUAAGCCUCUUAUACCCAAGAUCCAUGCACUCUGGCGUGCUGGGGAAACACUUAAAAGCCACUCUAACGUGUCACCUGUAAUGCCCUGCAUCUGCUUSGCAGCUCAGUACUGCUCUACUCCUCUAAUUUUCAUCGUUACCCCAAGUUUUGGAGGUUCUGGGUAUAAAAAUCACAAGCAAAAAUGUGUAUAGCAAGAGAUCAUCACCCAGAUUCAUUCUUAGCAACCACAGGCCCCUGAAUAGAGAACAGUGUGACCAUUAAUGAAAGCGCUGAUAAAGGUAAUACUAAAUCCUACAUGGUGAAACAGUCAAAAGGUAAUUGAAGUCAUUUUUAGAAAAAGUAGCUGGACUGAGUCCUUCARAGGGUGAGAUCACAAGAUGGCUCCUGAAUAUUAAAUUUUACAGGAAUAAGAUGUUGAAURAAAAUAGUCAAACUAGUUGCCUAGCGUUUCUAAUACUAGAACUAGAAAAACUACUU